GUAGAGUCUCACUUAUCCAACGUUCUGGAUUAUCCAACGCAUUUUUGUAGUCAAUGUUUUCAAUACAUCGUGAUAUGUUGGUGCUAAAUUUGUAAAUACAACAAAAGAGCUACAGCAUGGAAUCUAGCUGUGGGUUGCUAACAGGAAAGAUGUGGCACUAUGGCUUGUCUGUGGGGUUUGUGGACAGAGUGCCUUCCUAGAUCUUCCUGUCAGCAAGCAACGUCCUCAGAAGACAUACAGGUGGAUUCAUGGGAAGCGAUUGUAGAUUUGGAGGAUUAUGGGUACUGGCAUGUCUAUGAUCAACUGUCAUUUGAUCAGCUCAGUUUUGAGAAAAUAAAUGCUGGGCAAAGCAGUUGUAGGCAUUGUUGGGUCAGAGCUAAAAGAAUUACAGAUAUGAGAGAAUGCUGUGGCUCCUUUAUUUAUUUGAUAAAGAAGAACACCCAUUAUCCAUCAUCCAUAGCAUUUGCCUAUCAUGCUAUCUGCUCACCUUUUACUGACAUGGAUUUAUUCAAAACCUUUGUGUGUGCAUGCAGACAGAUGUUUCUCUUCGUCACCAGGAUAGGCUCAGGAUGUUUGUUCAUUCAGCUUGAGGCUGAGAGCUUGUCGCUCCCAUGGAAGAGGAGGCUCGGCAAACACGAAUUCAUUAAUUCUAUAUAUGGGCAACCAAGCCCUUGUCCGGAAUUACCACCUGGCGUCUUUAUUUCACACAGAACUGGACACGUGAGUUAAUCAGAGAUUCAUCAACAUAUCCACAUCAGAAUGUUCCUCCCGGAUUGCGCCUCCCCAAAUAACAUCCCUGUAACAGAUUGUCUUUUUAAACUGUCCAACCACCAGCCAUCGUUUUUCCUGCAAGAGGAAUCUCCUCCUGCUGGCUGUGACAUCAGCGGUGUUAUGUUAAUUUUGGUGAAAGGUACAAGUGUAAAUGUUUUCAUUAAAUGUAUAACUGAACAUUUAUAAAAUGUAUGAACUACUGUGCUGUAUUUGUAAAAAUGUGUUUGAGAGUAACAAUUGUUAUCUAUGAAAGGAGUGUUGUAGCUUUGAAAUAACCAUCAUAGUUAUUAGUUAGCAUAGUUAGCAUAGUUAUGCUAAAGUACUGAGGCCUUUAGGCCUGGCCACAUGUUCCAAAUGCAGAGUCACUUGUGUCUAGGCCUCAG
rnacentral:lncRNA from 11 species